rnacentral:rRNA from 1 species
UACGAAGGGGGCUAGCGUUGUUCGGAAUCACUGGGCAUAAAGCGCACGUAGGCGGAUUUUUAAGUCAGGGGUGAAAUCCCGAGGCUCAACCUCGGAACUGCCUUUGAUACUGGAGAUCUUGAGUUCGGGAGAGGUGAGUGGAACUGCGAGUGUAGAGGUGAAAUUCGUAGAUAUUCGCAAGAACACCAGUGGCGAAGGCGGCUCACUGGCCCGAUACUGACGCUGAGGCACGAAAGCGUGGGGAGCAAACAGG